UCUUUUUCUUUUAUAGAAUGGGCUAUGGAGGCUCGGUGUGUGUGUGUGUGUGUGUGUGUGUGUGUGUGUGUGUCCUGUUCAGCUCAUUCACUCAAUCAACAGAUAUUUAUCAGGACUGGAGCUGGACUCCUUGUAGGUUGUGCAGAAUGUACAUACAGAUGCAUGGAGAGUCACACUGAAGCCAUGCGGCUUCCUGUUGUGACAUCACUAGUGCUGGAGCUCAGUGAGAUUCUCUGGCCCAAUGGUCACAUGCUCCCUCUCCCCCUGGUGUGGUCUUACCUGUAUGAGGAACUCAGCUUACUUAGCUCCUUUUAUUUCUCUCGGACUGGGAAACCACACAAAUCUGGUGGUGGAUCCACCACCAAAUCAUGACUUAAAUUCUGACAUGUCCCUUGCAAAUGGGAGAGAGGAUGAGCAGAAACUCACAUCUGUCAGACACAGUUACCUGUUAUCAUCUCUGCUAAAGACCAGGAGGUUGAAGAGCUGGAAAUUAAUGGGAUGCCCUGUCAAGGGCAUUUUUCACCCAAGCCCUGUCCUUCCUGCCAUGGAGAUCUGCCUGUCUCUUCCAAGAUCUAGUGUCUUCAAACCUCCCGACAAUAGGAGAGCAUCUGUAUGUUAUAAUUUUAUUUCGAGUUGUGAGCUUUUCCUUUAUCACCAAAGAGUUCCUGGAAAAACACCAAAUUAGUUCCACUUUACUGAAUAACAGAAUGUGUUUGCCAUCCACUGUAUAUUUUUAACCAAUAGUUGUUUCUGGCCACCUUCUAUUGGUGUUGUAUUGCCCUGUGUUGAAUACUGAAAGAGCAUAUGUCUUAGUCUUUGCCGGUGGUGAAUGUUUGGAGAGAAAAAAUAAGCUCAAAUGGACAAAAUGAGAAAAAUAAAUGUUUUUGUUUUAUCUUUUUUUGCUAAGUUGUAAAAUGCAUCUGUACCCCUUCUCCUCUGUUUUGUUUAGAACCUCAGUAUAUUAGUCUCCUAUUGCUGCUAUAACAAAGUACCACAAACUCAGUGGCUUAUUUUACUGUGCUUUGUUUUCCAGUGCUUCACAGAUACAGCAUUUUAUUUUUUUUACAAACUGAAGGUUUGUGGCAACCCUCCAUCAAGUAGGCCUAUCAGUGCCAUUUUUCCAACAGCAUUUGCUCAAUUUCUAUCUCUUUGUCACAUUUUGGUAAUUCUCACAAAAUUUCAAACUUUUUCAUAUUAUUAUAUUUGUUAUGGUGAUCUGUGAUCAACAGUUAGGACUCGCUGAAAGCUCAAAUGAUGUUUAGCAAUUUGUUAGCAAUGAAGUAUUUUUAAAUUCAGGUAUGUAUAUUUCUUUUUAGACAGUGCUAUUGCACACUUAAUGUACUACAGUAUAGGGUAAACAUAACUUUUAUAUGCACUGGGAAGCCAAAAAAUUCAUUUUACUUGCUUUAUUGCAAUAUAUGCUUUUUUGCAGUGGUGUGGAACUGAACCAAUAUCUCGAAGGUAUGCCUGUACUGUCUCAUAGUUCUGGAGAUCAGAGUUCCAAAAUGGGUCCCAGUGCACUAAAAUCCAUUCCUUCUGAAGACUCUAGGAGGGAAUCUAUUUUCUUUCCUUUACUGACUUAUAGAACCUGCUCACAUUCCACAGUCCCCUCUGUCUUCAAAGCCAGCAAUGGCAGUCAAUUCUUUCCCACCCUGCAUCACUAGGACAAUAACUUUUAUGCUUCCCUCUUCUACAUUUAAAGGACCCUUGUGAUUGCAUUGGGCCGCCUGAAUAAUACAGGAUAAUCUCCUAUAUUUUACGGUCAGCUGAUUAACAUCCUUAAUUCCAUCAGCAACCUGCAUUCUUCCUUAUCAUGGAACAUAACAAAUUCACAGGUUCUAGAGAUUAAGACAUAGACAUUUUUGGGGGAGAGGAGCAAUAUUUUAUCACACCCAGCAUUGUAUAUUCUUCAAAGAAUGCCAUGUAGGUCAAUGGAUAUUUCUAUUAAAAAAAUAAAACAUGAGAAAAUGAAAAGUUUAUCAUAUCUCAAUGUUUUUUAAUGCAAGAACACAAUGAUCUAUUUUAUGGUUUGGGUUGGAGGUUGUCAUGGACACUGUCAUUUGUGAUUAUUAUUCUCCCCCCCCCCCCAGAUAAGUUAGAAAUGUUGUCAAAGUGCAUAAAGCAAAUGCUGCUGGUUCUGUGUACUGUCAAAAUGAGCAUUAAAUGCACUUACUUGCUAAA